rnacentral:rRNA from 1 species
GAUGAACGCUGGCGGCGUGCCUAACACAUGCAAGUCGAACGUGAGGGUAUAGCAAUAUACCUGAAAGUGGCGAACGGGUGAGUAACACGUAGGUAACCUGCCGCGCAGAGGGGGAUAACCACUGGAAACGGUGGCUAAUACCGCAUGGUACUACCGAGAGGGGACUCUGGGUAGUUAAAACCUUGGUGCUGCGCGAGGGGCCUGCGUCCGAUUAGUUAGUUGGUGAGGUAAUGGCUCACCAAGGCGAUGAUCGGUAGCUGGUCUGAGAGGAUGAUCAGUCACACGGGAACUGAGACACGGUCCCGACUCCUACGGGGGGCAGCAGUGAGGAAUAUUGCACAAUGGACGCAAGUCUGAUGCAGCAACGCCGCGUGGAGGAUGACGGCCCUUGGGUUGUAAACUCCUUUUUUCAGGGAAGAGAGAGGACGGUACCUGAAGAAUAAGUCACGGCUAACUACGUGC